rnacentral:rRNA from 1 species
CCUACGGGUGGCAGCAGUGGGGAAUAUUGCGCAAUGGGCGAAAGCCUGACGCAGCGACGCCGCGUGAGGGAUGAAGGUCUUCGGAUCGUAAACCUCUGUCAGCAGGGAAGAACGGUCACUGUGCUAAUCAGCAGUGAAUUGACGGUACCUGCAAAGGAAGCACCGGCUAAGUCCGUGCCAGCAGCCGCGGUAAUACGGAGGGUGCGAGCGUUAAUCGGAGUUACUGGGCGUAAAGCGCUCGUAGGCGGUAUGUCAAGUCAAGGGGGAAAUCCCCGCGCUCAACGUGGGAACUGCCUUUGAAACUGGCAAACUGGAGUGUGGGAGAGGAGAGUGGAAUUCGAGGUGUAGGAGUGAAAUGCGUAGAUAUCUGGAGGAACAUCAGUGGCGAAGGCGACUAUCGGGCACAUAACUGACGCUGAGGCGCGAAAGCGUGGGUAGCAAACAGGAUUAGAUACCCGUGUAGUC